GGGCCCGCACAAGCGGUGGAGCAUGUGGUUUAAUUCGACGCAACGCGAAGAACCUUACCUGGUCUUGACAUCCUGCGAACUUUCUAGAGAUAGAUUGGUGCCUUCGGGAACGCAGUGACAGGUGCUGCAUGGCUGUCGUCAGCUCGUGUCGUGAGAUGUUGGGUUAAGUCCCGUAACGAGCGCAACCCUUGUCCUUAUUUGCCAUCAUUUAGUUGGGCACUCUAGGGAGACUGCCGGUGACAAACCGGAGGAAGUGGGGGACGACGUCAAGUCAUCAUGGCCCUUACGACCAGGGCUACACACGUGCUACAAUGGGGCGUACAAAGGGUUGCAAUCCCGCGAGGGGGAGCU
rnacentral:rRNA from 1 species